rnacentral:lncRNA from 1 species
AAUCUCAAUCCCACCAUCCAAUUCCUAAAUCUGAAAACAUCAACUACCCUACUACUACUACUACUACUACUACUACUACUACUACUACUUCUUCUCCACCUCUAGAAACAGAAACCCCCUUGAUUAGUAUUCAUAAUAAAAAAGAAAUCUUUUUUAUCAAACAACGCAACAGCCAUGAAAGACGCCCAGAAGAUAUCAAAUCCAAUAAUACCAAUACCAUUACUGCUGCUA